UACGUAGGGACCGAGCGUUGUCCGGAUUUAUUGGGCGUAAAGAGCGUGUAGGCGGCCAGACAAGUCCGUUGUGAAAACUAGAGGCUUAACCUCUAGACGUCGAUGGAAACUGUUUUGGCUAGAGUCCGGAAGAGGAGAAUGGAAUUCCUGGUGUAGCGGUGAAAUGCGCAGAUAUCAGGAAGAACACCCCGUGGCGAAGGCGGCUCUCUGGUACGUGACUGACGCUGAGGAGCGA
rnacentral:rRNA from 1 species